rnacentral:rRNA from 1 species
GAUGAACGCUGGCGGCGUGCCUAACACAUGCAAGUCGAGCGAACGGACGAGAAGUUUGCUUCUCUGACGAUUGCGGCGCACGGGUGUGUAACAUGUGGAUAACCCACCUAUAAGACUGGGAUAACUUCGGGAAACGGGAGCUAACACCGGAUAAUAUCUUGAACCGCAGGGUUCAAAAGUGAAAGACGGUCUUGGGGUCACUUAUAGAUGGAUCCGCGCUGCAUUAGCUAGUUGGUAAGGUAACGGCUUACCAAGGCAACGAUGCGUAGCCGACCUGAGAGGGUGAUCGGCCACACUGGAACUGAGACACGGUCCAGACUCCUACGGGAGGCAGCAGUAGGGAAUCUUCGGCAAUGGGCGAAAGCCUGACGGAGCAACGCCGCGUGUGUGAUGAAGGUCUUCGGAUCGUAAAACUCUGUUAUUGGGGAAGAACAUAUGUGUACGUAGAUGUGCAGAGCUUGACGGUACCGGAUCAAAAAGCCACGGCUAACUACGUG